CACAGCGCUCUGCAGAAAAAUGCGCCGGUGCCCAGGUCUGGGAACCCCAGCCCGCGGGAUGGUGAAAUGAAAAGCGGCCCCAAUUAGAGGCUUUGGUUCUGCGAACUUGAUGCUCGGCACUUGAACUGUCACGGCGGAGCCUUAAUUAGCAGCGGCGGGGGAGAGGUCAGGAACAACUCAGCAGUCUUGACAAGCGCGUUAUCAAGUGCAGGGGAGCGGGCGGGGCCGCCGGGGAGGGGAGGAGGGCGAAGGGGCGCCGCGGCGCGGGAGGCGGCGGGGAGGCGGCCGCCCCAGCCCCGCGGGAAGGGAAUAAAAUGGUCGCUGCGCGGCGGCCGCGCAGCUCCGGUUGGUGGUGCGGGAAGCCUCCGGCGAGGGCGCGCGGGCAGCGCGGGGCGGCGUGAGAGGCCGCUCGCUCGGCCCCCAGGCGCCCGGACCCUCCCCCCGGCGCCUCCCCCGGUCACUGCAGCGGGCAGGCGGGGGCGCAGCGGGCAGGGCGCACGGAGCGCGACGCCAGGACUCCCCGGGUGCUCCGGACCUGCCGGGAGUCCCGGGGCUCCUCCCCCUCGGGGGUCAUUCCCGGCUGCCCCGCGGCCCGGUCAGCCGUCCCUGGCACCUCCCUGGGUCCCCAACCCCCAGCACGCAGCGGGCCCGAGGGCGCGCUUGGACGCCUCCGCAGUGACCUCCGCACCCACGGCGCUGGCUAUGCUGGGAAGCCCCUCCUAGAGCGCCCUGGGGCCCCGCCACCCGGCGGGGAGGCACAACAUGCUCGGCAUGAAGACCUGGUCGUCCCUGCUCCAGACCCUCAGUCAUGCACAUGCUCCCGCACCGCCUGUAUCCUCGUCACCCUGUCAACUCAGAAGAGAAGGCCAUCGAUUUCUUUUUUAAGUAGAAAAGCUCCAUCUGCCUGCCUGUCUGGCAGCUCCUGGGGCACGUCC